CACCCUAGGGCCUGGCCAAGCGGUACUUACGCCCGAGGGGAGGGACCCAAAAGCCGUGGCCGGGUCAGGACCCGGGCGGACAAACCCGCCGGCAGUGCGUGGGGAGACUCACAGCCAGAGAGUAACCAGAGCCGUCCACCCUGCCUGUGAGGGCUCCUCACUACAGCCCACCAGAGCCUGACUCAUCCUGCCAAAGCCUAAGUCGGUGGCCUGGGUCUCAGCAGGGUUGGACAAGGCAUGUGAUGCUAGGCAAGUCAGUGCCCUGUCUGAGCCUCAGAUCCCGAAAACAAAGAGUUUAGACACAAUCUAAGUUUGGACCUGCUGAUGCCACUCAUGGGAAAGAGCCCAGCCUGGUGAGGAACAAGGGGUCAGAGGCUGGUGAGGAGGAAAGUGAGUCGGAGACAUGGAAACAUCUCCCCGGCAGCUAAGGCAAAGAAGCUCCUACCUCUGGAACUGGGCCCUGCAAGAUCUGGCCAGGUGACUGAGGAGUGCCAGGCUUGGGGGCUCAGUGUCUGCAGAGAGGAGAGGACUUCCUGUACUGGGGGCAGGGCCUUUAAAGGGGUGCAUGGUCAGCACCUUCCCUCCCCUGCCCAGCAGGUCCACUCUCUGCCUCUGAUCUCAGCCCCUCGGGUUUGGUUCCAGGGCAAGGGCCUGGCCCCUACAGUUAAGCAGAAUUGGUACAGAGUGUGGUGACUUGCUUCCCAACAGACCAAAUAAAUGUUUGUGGGACAGAAGAGAAGGAAUGGCCUAGCCUCAGAGAAGCCCCGGUUUGUGGCAGCCCAGCUCUGAACCAGCGUCCCCAGGGCUUCCCUAACCAGUCUCGGGAGCUUGGCCAGAGCCUAU